GAUGAACGCUGGCGGCGUGCCUAAUACAUGCAAGUCGAGCGAACGGACGAGAAGCUUGCUUCUCUGAUGUUAGCGGCGGACGGGUGAGUAACACGUGGAUAACCUACCUAUAAGACUGGGAUAACUUCGGGAAACCGGAGCUACUACCGGAUAAUAUUUUGAACCGCAUGGUGCAAAAGUGAAAGACGGUCUUGCUGUCACUUAUUGAUGGAUCCGCGCUGCAUUAGCUAGUUGGUAAGGUAACGGCUUACCAAGGCAACGAUGCAUAGCCGACCUGAGAGGGUGAUCGGCCACACUGGAACUGAGACACGGUCCAGACUCCUACGGGAGGCAGCAGUAGGGAAUCUUCCGCAGUGGGCGAAAGCCUGACGGAGCAACGCCGCGUGAGUGAUGAAGGUCUUCGGAUCGUAAAACUCUGUUAUUAGGGAAGAACAUAUGUGUAAGUAACUGUGCACAUCUUGACGGUACCUAAUCAGAAAGCCACGGCUAACUACGUG
rnacentral:rRNA from 1 species